rnacentral:misc_RNA from 1 species
UCCUCUCCCACAAUGCUCAGCGCCAGUGUCAGCCAUGUUGGGUUUUCCUUGACUACGUGUGUGUCUGCUUAAUCUCUACAUUCUGGCGUCAUCCUUUCCUCACGUUGCUAUUUUCUCCGUGAUAACAAAACCUGAGUGUGUUGUGACUCCUUCUGGUGAGGAAGGAGAGUGAUAGCGCCACAGACUCACCACCAUGAGCUUCCUUUUUGGGAGCCGGGCAAGCAAGACCUUCAAACCCAAGAAGCACAUCCCAGAGGGCACCCACCAGUAUGACUUGAUGAAGCAUGCAGCCGCGACGCUGGGUUCUGGCAACCUGCGCUCGGCUGUCAUGCUUCCUGAGGGAGAGGACCUCAAUGAAUGGGUUGCUGUCAACACUGUGGACUUCUUCAAUCAGAUCAACAUGCUGUAUGGUACCAUAACAGAGAUGUGCACUGAUGAGUCCUGCCCUGUGAUGUCUGCUGGGCCCAAGUAUGAGUACCACUGGGCUGAUGGGCAGACUGUUAAAAAGCCCAUCAAGUGCUCUGCCCCCAAGUAUAUUGACUACCUCAUGACGUGGGUGCAGGACCAACUGGAUGAUGAAACACUCUUCCCCUCAAAGAUUGGUGUACCAUUUCCAAGAAACUUCCAGAGCAAUGCCAAGACCAUACUGAAGCGACUCUUUCGGGUUUAUGCACACAUCUACCACCAGCACUUCUCUGAGGUGGUUCAGCUGGGGGAGGAGGCCCACCUCAACACCUCCUUCAAACACUUCAUCUUCUUUGUUCAGGAAUUUCAGUUGAUAGAGCGGAAGGAGCUGGCACCCCUUCAGGAGUUGAUCGACAAACUCACUGCCAAGGAUCGAUGAUUCUAAGUGAGAGAAGUAUCCGUCUUGCUUGGAGGCUUGAGAGCAUGGAGUGAAGUAAGAUGUUUGCUUAGCGAGGAGCUGUGAUGAGCUGAGAGCUUGGGCUUUACUUUCUCUUAUGAUUGUUGAUUCCAGUGUUGGUAAGUUAUUUAGCUUUAUUAUGUUUUCUGUAGAUGGAAAAAAAUGAGGCUGGAGGAAUCUGAUGUCAGCUGUGGGCUGUAGAUGCUACACAGUGGCAGUGAAAUUCAGUUGCAGCUUGACAUUUUCUUGUGAGUCUCCAUUGAUAAGUAUAUUAUGUAAUACCUGAAUCUCUGAAUGCAAGAGAAAUAUUUAUAUUGUAAAAUUUUGAUUCAUGUCAGCAUCUGUUUCUUCACAAAAUGUAACACCAUACACAUUCAUAAUAUGUAUAAGUGUUUCUUUGUCACUGGAGUAUCAAUUGGAUUCCCUUUAUGUAAAUAUUUGAAAAUAGAUUUUAAACAAACAUGUUUUUUUAUCAGGUACCAAGCAGUCCAUAACUGAAAAAUCCCAAGUUUAUGUACUUUAGCUAUGAAUUAAAAGAUAAGCACUAUAGGGGAAGUUUUAGUUUGUGAUGCCAAUGGACACCACACCAAAGACUGAGGUGACACUUAUCUUCUUUCACAACAGAGUUGCUCCAAAUCUCUCAUGUGAACAUAGUGAUGUUCACUAUGUAUUCUACCAAACAAAGUUUAGCAGGAUUUUUUGCAACUUGAAUUUGACUAAGUAGCUACUCUUGAUCUCUAUACUGAGCUUGGGACCUGAUAUUGGCGUCAGUUCAGCACACUGGACCUUUGCAGUUAGUGUUCUGUAGGUGGCAGUGUAGCCUCAAGUUCCUAUGAAAGGCACAACACAUGAGGGUCAGAUUCCAGUCAGUAUGCAAAGUGUAUAGUUAAAUGUAACUAUUUACUACCCAAUGUAAUAACCACUAAAAUUCAUAUUUUAUGAACCUGGAGUCAUGUAUUUCGGUUUCAAUAAAUAUUUUUAUCUUA